AGGGCAUACGGCGGAUGCCUAGGCGCCAUCAGCCGAUGAAGGACGCGGUAAGCUGCGAAAAGCUACGGGGAACUGCAAGCAAGUAUUGAUCCGUAGAUGUCCGAAUGGGGAAACCCACCUGCCGUCAUGGGCAGGUAUCCGAAAGGAAGGGAACCCGGGGAACUGAAACAUCUAAGUACCCGGAGGAAGAGAAAUCAAACGAGAUGCCCACAGUAGCGGCGAGCGAAGAGGGCAGAGGGCAAACCGGGGAGCUACGGCUCUCCGGGGUUGAGGACUGCAUUUAGUCUCAAAGGUUUAUCCGAACUACCUGGAAAGGUAGGCAACACAGUGUAAAAGCCACGUAGGUUAAAGACCAGAGAGAUGAGCAGUAUCCAGAGUACCACGAGGCACGAGGAAUCUUGUGGGAAGCCGGGGGGACCACCCUCCAACCCUAAACACUGAAUGGCGACCGAUAGCGCAUAGUACCGUGAGGGAAAGGUGAAAAGAACCCCGGGAGGGGAGUGAAAGAGAACCUGAAACCGUAUGUCUACAAGCAGUCGGAGCGAAAGCGACGGCGUGCCUAUUGAAGAAUGAACCAACGAGUUACGUGCACUAGCGAGGUUAAGUGGAAGACACGGAGCCGAAGCGAAAGCGAGUCUUAAGAGGGCGGAUAGUUAGUGUACGUAGACCCGAAACCGCAGUGAUCUACCCAUGUCCAGGUUGAAGCGCAGGUAAAAUUGCGUGGAGGACCGAACCUGUGAGCGUUGAAAAGCUUUAGGAUGAGAUGUGGGUAGAGGUGAAAUUCCAAUCGAACGCGGAGAUAGCUGGUUCUCCCCGAAAUAGCUUUAGGGCUAGCCUCAAGUAGUAAGUAUAGGCGGUAGAGCACUGAUCGGGCUAGGGGCCAUAAAGGUUACCGAACCCUGUCAAACUCCGAAUGGUUAUACUGUAGAGCUUGGGAGUCAGACUACGAGUGAUAAGAUCCGUGGUCAAAAGGGAAACAGCCCAGACCACCAGCUAAGGUCCCUAAUGUCGUACUAAGUGGAAAAGGAUGUGGGGUCUCUAAAACAACCAGGAUGUUGGCUUAGAAGCAGCCACCAUUUAAAGAGUGCGUAAUAGCUCACUGGUCGAGAGACCCUGCGCCGAAGAUUACCGGGGCUAAAGUACGAAACCGAAGCUGUGGCUACGACGUAAGUCGUGGGGUAGGGGAGCGUUCUGUGAGGGCUGAAGUCGUUCUGUAAGGGACGGUGGACUUCACAGAAGUGAGAAUGUUGGUAUGAGUAGCGAAAAGAAUGGUGAGAAUCCAUUCCACCGAAAGCAUAAGGAUUCCUGGGCAACGAUCGUCGUCCCAGGGUAAGUCGGGACCUAAUCCGAGGCAUGGAGCGUAGGAGAUGGACAACUGGCAGAUAUUCCAGUACCGGUAAUGAUUGUUUGAGCGAUGGAGUGACACAGGAGGGCAGGCAGGCAGGAGAUUGGUUGUUCCUGUACAAGCGUGUAGGGUGGAACGUAGGCAAAUCCGCGUUCUGAGAGCCUGAGGCGUGAUGUGGAGGUUCCGGAAACGGAGCUGAAGCUGCUGACCCCACACUGUCGAGAAAAGCUUCUAGUUAGAGAAUUACCGCCCGUACCGUAAACCGACACAGGUAUGCGGGGAGAGAAUCCUAAGGUGCGCGGGAGAACCCUCGUUAAGGAACUCGGCAAAAUGUACCCGUAACUUCGGGAUAAGGGUAGCCGCUGUUGUGAAGUCUGAACAGACGGAGCAUGAGGCGGUCGCAGAGAAGAGGCCCAAGCGACUGUUUACCACAAACACAGGUGCCUGCUAAAGAGAAAUCUGACGUAUAGGUGCUGACACCUGCCCAGUGCCGGAAGGUUAAGGAAGGAUGUCCGGAGCAAUCCAAAGCAUUCGACCGAAGCCCCGGUGAACGGCGGCCGUAACUAUAACGGUCCUAAGGUAGCGAAAUUCCUUGUCGGGUAAGUUCCGACCCGCACGAAAGGUGUAACGAUUUGGGCACUGUCUCAACGAGGGACCCGGUGAAAUUGAAGUACCUGUGAAGAUGCAGGUUACCCGCGACUGGACAGAAAGACCCCAUGGAGCUUUACUGUAACCUGACAUUGGGUUCUGAUACAUCACGUACAGGAUAGGUGGGAGGCAUGGAAGCGAGGACGCUAGUCUUCGUGGAGCCGCCGUUGGGAUACCACCCUUGAUGUAUCGGAAUUCUAACCGUAGGAGUAACGAAACUCGGGACAGUGUCAGGCGGGCAGUUUGACUGGGGCGGUCG
rnacentral:rRNA from 1 species